AAACGUUGAAGAGGUAGAUGGUAGCUAACUAGCUGUAAAUAAAAAUAAAUUGUUUCCUUCACAUACCACUUGUGCAUAAUAUAACACGGCAACAGCUGUGAUCAUCAAUUGAAAUUCAGUAUUAGGCGUGGAUUUGAAUAUAGUAGGUCCUUGUAGUCUCGCCUGCAAUGACCUGUUACUAAGUUCUGCAUGUAUUCAGACAGAUAUAUAUGAGAUCAGAUAAAUGUGACCACAAAUUUAUCAUGUCAUGUUUUCCAUGUCAUUAAUCUAAAUUAUAUAUAUAUAUAUAUAUAUAUAUAUAUAUAUAUAUAUAUAUAUAUAUUUGCCUAAUAUACAGCGGUCUACAAUUAACAUUAAUUUCCUGUACUCUGAACACGUACCAAAAGACUACGCAGAAAUAUAGGAAACCCUAGCAGAGCAACCCCCUUGUAUGCCUAUAACUGAUCACAUAUGAUAAUCUUGCAUUAAGCUGCAGGACCGACAGUAUAGAGUCUGGACCACACUGAGUUCAAAUUGUAUGAUGCCUUGCACUGCCAAAAGAUCUUGGUAGAAGAUAUGCCAAGUUAGAAAGCUCAAAAUAAAAUACUAAAAAAAUG
rnacentral:lncRNA from 1 species